AUACGUAGGGAGCGAGCGUUGUCCGGAUUUACUGGGUGUAAAGGGUGCGUAGGCGGCCCUGCAAGUCGGGUGUGAAAACCGUCGGCUCAACUGACGGAUUGCACUCGAAACUGCGGGGCUUGAGUGGAGCAGAGGCAGGCGGAAUUCCCGGUGUAGCGGUGAAAUGCGUAGAGAUCGGGAGGAACACCAGUGGCGAAGGCGGCCUGCUGGGCUUUAACUGACGCUGAGGCACGAAAGCAUGGGUAGCAAACAGGAUUAGAUACCCUGGUAGUCCAUGCCGUAAACGAUGAUUACUAGGUGUGGGGGGUCUGACCCCUUCCGUGCCGGAGUUAACACAAUAAGUAAUCCACCUGGGGAGUACGACCGCAAGGUUGAA
rnacentral:rRNA from 1 species